rnacentral:rRNA from 1 species
UACGUAGGGGGCGAGCGUUGUCCGGAAUUAUUGGGCGUAAAGAGUGUGUAGGCGGUGCUCUAAGUUCGGUGUGAAAUCUCCUGGCUUAACUGGGAGGGUGCGCCGGAAACUGGGGUGCUCGAGCGUGGGAGAGGAAAGCGGAAUUCCUGGUGUAGCGGUGAAAUGCGUAGAUAUCGGGAGGAACACCUGUGGUGUAGACAGCUUUCUGGACCAUUGCUGACGCUGAGACACGAAAGCGUGGGUAGCAAACAGG